rnacentral:rRNA from 1 species
UACGGAGGGGGCGAGCGUUGUUCGGAAUCAUUGGGCGUAAAGCGCGCGUAGGCGGCUACUUAUGUCGGAUGUGAAAGCCCUUGGCUCAACUGAGGAAGUGCACCCGAAACUGAGUAGCUGGAGUACGAAAGAGGGUCGCGGAAUUCCCGGUGUAGAGGUGAAAUUCGUAGAUAUCGGAAAGAACACCAACGGCGAAAGCACUCUGCUGGGCCGACACUGACACUGAGAGACGAAAGCUAGGGGAGCGAAUGGG